rnacentral:rRNA from 1 species
UGGGGAAUAUUGCACAAUGGGCGCAAGCCUGAUGCAGCCAUGCCGCGUGUGUGAAGAAGGCCUUCGGGUUGUAAAGCACUUUCAGCGGGGAGGAAGGCGUUAAGGUUAAUAACCUUGGCGAUUGACGUUACCCGCAGAAGAAGCACCGGCUAACUCCGUGCCAGCAGCCGCGGUAAUACGGAGGGUGCAAGCGUUAAUCGGAAUUACUGGGCGUAAAGCGCACGCAGGCGGUCUGUCAAGUCGGAUGUGAAAUCCCCGGGCUCAACCUGGGAACUGCAUGCGAAACUGGCAGGCUAGAGUCUUGGAGAGGGGGGUAGAAUUCCAGGUGUAGCGAUGAAAGGCGUAGAGAUCUGGAGGAAUACCGGUGGCGAAGGCGGCCCCCUGGACAAAGACUGACGCUCAGGUGCGAAAGCGUGGGGAGCAAACAGG